rnacentral:lncRNA from 1 species
UAUUUUCUUAUAAAACAAUAUUUUUAAAACACUGCGUAAAUAAUUUUUACAGCGUCAAAGCAAAAUAAAUUCCUACAUACAGUAAUAUAGAUAUCUAGAGUACGAAAUUUAAUUUACAAUAACAAGUGAGCUCCCCCCGAAUAAACAAAAGUAAAGAGGACUGUGAACCUACAGUUUGGAAAAUGCAAUUCCAACGGUAGUCCUCGAUGAGAUCAGCUAUCUACAACCUAUUCUGAACCUGAAAUGGGUGGAAAGGAGAUUAGUGAGAUUUUAUAAUCCCAGUAAGUAAACAAACAUCAUCAUAAACAUCUAGAGUUGAGUACAUGGAGACAAUAAAAUAAAUCAUCGUAAACUGGGUCACAACAUUAAAACACAUUUCAUUCAAAAUACGUAAAAAGGCUUAUGAAUCUCAUAAAAACUAGGCUUGUGCCAUAAAUCCAUUCUUGGGGACACCUUGGCCGAGGCAUCCUACCGAGACCGCCAAG